ACUCUCCAAAUGCCUUCCCCAUCAGACCUAAACACCGGUCUGAGUGGUUACAAAGAGAGAAAAAGUAAAAGUAAAACCUACUGAAAUGCUUUGGGGACAAAUAAGCCAGUUCCAAAGUUGG
rnacentral:snoRNA from 1 species